rnacentral:lncRNA from 1 species
UCUUUCCCGUAUAGACCACUCUCUUCCCUCUCGCUCAUCUCUCCUUCUCUCUUUCCCACAGACAUCUCUCUCCUCUUCGCAAGCUUUCCUCUUCACAAUCUCGAAUCCUACCACCACCACUACCCUCUCGUUCUAAACGACGGGCAGCCACGCGAAUCUCGAAGCCGACGCGAAUUAAGUCCCCAAAAUCAAGGUGAGGGUUUCUGAUUAUCGAUGGGUUUUGUUAUUUAGGGUUUAAGCUCAAAUUGCAUGUUGGGUUUUUGUCAAAUUGUUUUUUUCCUGAUGUGAUUGGAGUUGAUUGUCUGAAAUUUUUGCAAUUUUGUUGAUAUGUAUGUGUGUUUUGUGUAUGAUCUGUGCAAGUCUCCAACUCCAGCUCACAUCAUAAGCCGUCUCUAACUCCAGCUCUCGUCAUAAGCCGUCUCCAACUCCGUCUAACUCUCAUCUGAUUGUACAAUAUGUGCAAGUUCUCUGGCAAAUACAAACUUGCAUCUCCAAUUUGGUAGGUUCGCAUUCCAUUUUAGUACGUUUCUUAUUAGCGUUUUUGUUUGAUAAAGUUAAAGUUCUCUGGCAAAUACAAACUUGCAUCUCCAGUUUGGCAAAUACAAACUCGCAUCUCCUGUUUGGCAGGUUUGCUCCACGGUCUCCAGGUACUUCUGCGUUUGCAAUGGAAACAUCUGAUUUGAUAUUACAGAAAGAUAAAGUUAAUGGGUUAAUUAAUUGGUAUUUAUGCAUCUAGAUAAUAGAUAUCAAAGUUUUAAUUUCCAUUUCUUAUUAUGUUUUAACUUUUAUAAUAGUUUGAUUAGUUUAACCAUAUCAGUAAUUUAAGUUCUGCUUUUUAAAUGGAUUAAUGGGUUUAUCAAAGUUCUUAACUACAUAACUAGAUCUCCAAAAAUAUGACUUGAAUUUGAGUCUUCAUCCCUCGUACCGAAAAAUGACUUAAAUUUGAGUCUCAGUUUAAAUUAGUUAGUCAUUUGUACUAUUUAAUUUUCCUAUUCUUUUUAAGCUGUUGUGUUGUUGAAAGCUUUAAGUGUACCUGUACCCCAUUUUCCACUUUAUGAGAAUGGUUCUCAUAUUGGUUUGGUUAAAAUUUUCUCUCUGAAUAGUUGCAGAUUUGCUGGGCCUUCCUAUUUUGGGAUACUCUCUAGAUAUUGGG